rnacentral:lncRNA from 1 species
UUAAACAUGCAUCCGGAAAGUGUUCUUCACACAUUCAUCACGUUCUUCACCAGAAUUCCAGGUGAUGAACAUUUUUCACCAAAAUCAAAAUUGAACAUAUCCAUAGCUUCAUCUUCUCAAGCACAACAACAAUCCUAACAUGAUUUGUCUUAAUUCUCACUAACGAAUCCAGAUCGAGCCAAAGAAGUUUUAACAAUCAAACUUAAAUUCGACAUAUCUCUCUUAAUAUUCAAUGAAAAUUAACGAUUCAAAGUGCAGUACACUCAGCAUGGAACGAUC